rnacentral:pre_miRNA from 14 species
ACACCGAUCUCAGACGAGCCCCCAGAUGAAAGAUCCCCGAAGAGAGACCCUUUCUAAAGUCUCGGGAAGUCACAGACUCCAGACACAAGGAGACCA